GUCUCUUUGUAUUUUAUAAAUAAAGAGUCGGGCCUGCUCGGUGAUGAUAAUUUAACAGCUGCGGUAUUUUAACUGUACUAAGGUAGCAUAAUAGUUUGCCUUAUAAUUUGAGGCUAGAAUGAAUGGUUUGACGAAGGUUAGUCUGUCUCUAUUUUAUUUCGUAGAAAUUAAUUUUUAAAGUGAGAAAGCUUAAAUUUUUUAAAGGGACGAGAAGACCCUAUUGAGCUUAUAAUUUUGUUUUAUUAUAUAUUAUAAUAUUAAAUAAAUUUUAAUUGGGGUGAUUAAGGAAUAAAAGUAUUAUUAAUUAGUAUCUUCCUUAAAAUAAAUAAUAUAGAUAUAUAAAUUAACCAAUAAAUAUAUUGCUUAUAUUAGAGUUACCAUAGGGAUAACAGCGUAAUUUACUUAAAGAGUUCUUAUUGAAAAGUAAGAUUGCGACCUCGAUGUUGGAUUAAAGUAACCUUGGGGUGUAGGAGCUUUAAUAGGUAAAUCUGUUCGAUUUUUAAAACUUUAC
rnacentral:rRNA from 1 species